UACGGCGGCCAUAGCGGAGGGAAACCGCCCGUUCCCAUUCCGAACCCAAGCUAAGCCCUCCAGCGCCGAUGGUACUGUGCACUCGACAGGGUGUGGGAGAGAGGACACCGCCGUCA
rnacentral:rRNA from 1 species